rnacentral:rRNA from 1 species
UACGGAGGGUGCAAGCGUUAUCCGGAUUCACUGGGUUUAAAGGGUGUGUAGGCGGACAGUUAAGUCAGCGGUGAAAUCUCCGGGCUCAACCCGGAAACUGCCAUUGAUACUAUCUGUCUUGAAUAUUGUUGAGGUGGGCGGAAUAUGUCAUGUAGCGGUGAAAUGCAUAGAUAUGACAUAGAACACCGAUUGCGAAGGCAGCUCACUAAACAAUGAUUGACGCUGAGGCACGAAAGCGUGGGGAUCAAACAGG